rnacentral:rRNA from 1 species
GUCUACGAUCAUGCUACUCUGAACAAGCCCCAUCUCGUCUGAUCUUAGAAGCUAAGCAGGGUCGGGCCUCGUUAGUACUUGAAUGGGAGACCACAUAGGAAGACCAGGUGCUGUAAGCA